GUGAGUAACACGUAUCCAACCUACCCUUAAGUUGGGGAUAACUAGUCGAAAGAUUAGCUAAUACCGAAUAAUAACAUCAAUAUCGCAUGAGAAGCAUGUAGAAAGUCGCGUUUGCGACGCUUUUGGAUGGGGGUGCGACGUAUCAGAUAGUUGGUGAGGUAAUGGCUCACCAAGUCAAUGACGCGUAGCUGUACUGAGAGGUAGAACAGCCACAAUGGGACUGAGACACGGCCCAUACUCCUACGGGAGGCAGCAGUAGGGAAUUUUUCACAAUGGGCGAAAGCCUUAUGAAGCAAUGCCGCGUGAACGAUGAAGGUCUUAUAGAUUGUAAAGUUCUUUUAUAUGGGAAGAAACGCUAAGAUAGGAAAUGAUUUUAGUUUGACUGUACCAUUUGAAUAAGUAUCGGCUAACUAUGUGCCAGC
rnacentral:rRNA from 1 species